UCCCAGCCUCCUGGACUGGAAAAAUGAAUUACUGCUCUUUACAGAUUACCCACGCUCUGAAAGUGUAAAGAAGAAUCAAAGUGCAUGAUAGGAAUCAUCUCUAGAAAGAAGGCUAGGCUAAAACAGAGCCAAGAUUUGCAAAGAGCAGUCAUAAAUCUAAGGGGUCUGAUUCAUCGGAGCUGUAUAAUGGCAGAGAAGGACUCCUAAGGAGAAGGACAUAAAUGAUGUUCAAGGGAUUCUUAGAAAAGGAGAGGUGUUAGCAGAAGGCUCUAUGAAAGAAGGGAAUGCCUCAAGAAAUUGUCUGUGAGAGCAAUUACCACUCAAACAAUAUCUGUUAUGACUCCUUAAUUCCAGAGGACAACAAUCAUCUCAAAUAAUACUAAUAUCUGCAGUACACUGUGACAACUUUUCGGACAACAGGUUCUAAAAAAGCCACAUUUUGAAGAACUUAGCUUCCCGUGAGUUCGCCUUGAUCCUUCAAGCCACCGCCAUGGCCAGAGCGAGGUAGCAUCUUUGGGAGGAUGACAGCAAGUAGCCAAGGGGAGAACAAGAUCGCUGGGCUGCAUCUCCCCUGGAGCACUCUAUAAAGAAACAGAGCAGUCUUCACCAACACGUCUUCAAUUUGCAGUGCCUUACCGAAAGACAGAGCCCUGAGCCAGUGCACUGGGACACAAGUCGGGGGACAGAGAAUACAAACAGAAUACAGAAGAAACUCUAGAUUCCCUUGGAACUAAUUCAGAUUCUGGCCACAGACAGCAUAUUCUGGCUAUGUUACCUCCAAACAUCAUCUGUGUGAACAAAGUGCUCCUCCUGAAAACUUACUGCAAACAACUCUGCAUUACCUCUGACAAUGAAGGAAACAAGAAGAACCCGAUGGAGUUCUGAAUCUCAAGUGGAUUUUUCAGCAUCAGAAUGUUCAUGGGGGCGGUG